CCUCAGCAGAAAAGUUAUCACGGCAGACAAUGUCAACUUUCCGGAGGGGGAGGGCCCUUUGCACGGCUCCGUCCCCGCCUGCAACAGCCGCGCCUCUCUUUCAGUGUCAGCGCUGCAGAUGUGAUGUCCUUCCUCCUCCCAAAUGCUGCUUUGUCAGCCGAAGCUGUCAACGAGCCCUGGUCUCCCUCUCUGAUACUUGCCACCCACACCUGUGUGUCACCUGAGAGGUGAAGGGCUCACAAGACUUCAAAACCUGCUGGUGCUCUGGCCAGUGCCUCGGAGAUGAUGAUGUAGUCCCUAUGUGGGCCGCAGAAAGCACUUCGAGCCGUGCUGGAGUCGUGCUGGGUGGCUCUGAUAGCAGAGCUAAUGGGAGCGAAUGGGAUGCAACGAACUGUUCUAAUGACACCAGCCAGGGAAGAGACAACAAAUCAGGUGCUGGAGAGAGGCUGAGCAUGCAGGACUCACCCUCUGUGAGGCUCCUCUGAUGCUGACAGGAUCACACUGCUGUGACUUGGCUCUGGCCAAGCUAAAAGCAGCACUCAAGUGACUCUGUGACGUUGCUGGGGAUAGAGUGAUGCCCUGAAACUCUUCAGCAUCCCUGGGCCAGAUGCAGAGGUUUUUCCCUGAUGCCAAUGGAGUCACACUGCAGAAGAGCCACUGCUGAUGGGGUCUGUUCCAGCCUGUGGGGUGCCUGUCCUCUCUUCUCUACAAGUGGUGAAACAGAGGCAUGGAGCAGAUCAAUUUAUCUUCUUUGUGCGAGUGUGAGAACACCAAGACACAGAGAUGGGAGUGGUCUUACCCAAGGUCACACUGCACAAAUCAUUGUGGCAAGAGUCACUCCUUAGUUCUGUGAGGAACAGCAGAGGAAAAUGUUGUCCAGCAUCCUGGGUUGGACUGCCACUAUGGCACUGUCUUUCAAAUCCAUCCUGUGAUCACCAAAUACUCUUGCCAGCUCUGACAAGCAGAAGAAACAGAGGCUGGUCCAAACUGACUCCUGGUGCUACAGACGCUGAAAUCCUUGCAAAAGGAGAAACUUGAGAUGUCACUGGCUGAAGAUACCCCAGGUUACUGUGAAGAUAUUACAAAACUGAGGCACAUGCAUAUUGUGGCUGUUUUUCCUGACCUUGGGGUCACAUGCAAGGAAACAAUCGGUGGGAAAGCAAAGAGGAAAAGAACAGUUAUUUCUCUGGGGCCCUGACAGAAGGAAUGAGAAUGUGGGGGCACCUGGGAUGGCCACGGAACAAAAAACCUGAAACAUCUCUUCACCCAUUUGUUCUUAUUUUUCCACUCUGUGGGUCCUGCUCCCCUCUUUCCUCACCCUCCCCCAGCUUGCCUGGUGAUUCAGGAAGAAGAGGCCAAGGAGAGUAAUAUUGUGCUGAAGACAGGACUGGAAGGGCAGUAAUUUAGACUCAGAGGCUUAUAGUAUUAUUGCCUGCAAAGCCAUUCAUGGGAAAUGAUUCCACCCGUCCCCAUUCCGCUCCCCCCCGCCCCAUACCACUCUCCUUGCUCUGCAAUAACAAUAACAGAAAUGCCUUCAGGAGGCUUUUCUACUCAAAAUGCAGGCAAAGGAGCACUUUUCUCCACCACCCCUCUUCUUUCCCUUCUCUUCUCCCUGCACUCGCUUGUCCCCCCUGCCUCUAAGCCUAACUGCUGCUCCCUCCCUUCUCCCCUCCCCCCCCACGGGAUAAAAAAAUAAAAAUAAUAAUAGGGGUAAUAAGAGAGGAGGUAAUGGAACGUUCUCCAACUGGGCACAUGUCAGAAGCCAUUAUAUGUGGUGCAGAUUUGCAUAAUUCAAGAAGCAUCAAAUUAAAUUUGCAUAAUUCCUUUGAUUACACUUGUUAUUAAAUGUAAGUGACAUUGAUUUACAAAAUGGCCCAAUAUAAGGUUAAUAGCAAAUGUCACCUUCCAGCAGGGUGAAUAGGGUGCGUGUGUGGUGGUGGUGGUGACGGAGGAGGGGGAGAGGGGGGCCUGGGGAGGAAGGCGAGCAGACAAUUGAUUUCUGCUCCUCUCUCCUCCUUAAAGGGCUCAGGUCUCCUUUGCAGAGGAGCCCUCGACUCUCGGAGGGCUGCACUGGGCUGUCAUCGAGACACCGUGUCAUCAGGACACCCUGCCGAGUGGCAUUGGUGCCAUGCCUCUGCUGCCUCCUGCUCUGCACCGUGUCACAGCAUGGCCACUGAGCCAGUUCCCAAUGGGAGCUAGGCUGGGUGGAAGGAGCAGGGGAAGCCUAAAAGUGUCUCUCCCAGGCCCAGGCACGCUUGGUGGGCAGGAAAAGCAGCUUGGAUGGCAUCUUUGCAGGAAGAUCUCACUGAGGCAAGUUUUCUAAAAUAGGAUGUGAGCUGGAUGUGGGCUGUGCCCAGCUGGCAGGACACCCUGUGUGUCUGCGGGGACAGCACUGGGAGGGAGGGAGAGCCAUGGUAGGAGCAGUGCCUGAAAUGCCAGCUCUGAUGGCAGAGAUUCCACAGUGAAAACACAUUUGUGAUUACAGCAAGACCUGUAAGUUACAUGAAGAGCUGCUUUCCAUAAAUGAAAGACUCUGUGCCAUACAUACAGAGCUGCUGAUGAUCCAGGCCCAUCACCACUGUCCAUUUUGCUAACAUGGGCCUCAGACCAUCUUGAACACUUGCCUUGUGAGUAGAUUCCAUCUCUGAACGUCUUUUUGCCUCUCUUCAUUCUGUGUUUUUCUCCAGAAAGGGCAUGUGAUUUCAUGCAGGGAAGCUGACUGGUAAGUUGUGUGGGCACCUGAGGACUGUAGCGAUAAAAUAAAGUCAUAAUAUGUGUACCAGAACAGGAUGAAUAUCAGACUUCUAGUCACAAGCAGUUUCAAAGACACACAAACCUAGGCAUAACCUGGUUUUGGUUCAGCAGAAAAUUUUUUUGCAAAUCAAGAGACUGGCUGAAGGGGGAACAGGGACCCACAGCUACCUUUUUGGUUAAACUCUCUCACUCAAGGUGAAAAAGGAUGCUUCUUUUGGUGUCUGAGCUCUGUAAACAUUGUCUAAUAGCAUCCAAACAAAAUUAGAAUUAAAUCUAUCCCUGAGCCAACUGUCAGAAGGGUUUUUCAGAAUGUUUCAAAAGAAGUAGCACUCACUAUUUGUAGCAGGAAGGAUACGAUGAUUGGUAUAAAAUUCCAGGUAGCUGCCAUUUACAGCUGAUUUUUGAACUCUCUUAAGCCUUCUGAAGCUCUAGUAGUCCAUGCCCAGGAUGAAAUCAGUGCACCCAUCUUUCAGAUCCCAACAUAAUCACAUGAAGCCAGGUUAAUAAUCUAGAUUAUUAUCUACUGAAUGAGAGACAUGAAAUGUAUUUUACAGGCCUUUGGGCACUCUAAAAGGAAGCUGCAGUAUGAACAUUUCUAAUGCCCUACAUAGUGUCCCACAUCAGUUGAAGAGCAUUGCUUUUCUGCAUCCCAAAUACCCAAUGCUUGCUCCACAGCAGAAUUUAUUAUAACCCUCCUGAACCCAGAUUCUCAAAGGUGCCCAGUAGUGCCAAACUUCAGACAGUUGAAGAAAAUAUCUUUUUGAGGCUAAGCACAUUUAUAGUGGCUAAUGGCUCAGGCCUGGGUUCCAUUCCUGUUGUGAGGAAAGAAGAUGAAGUGUCUGGGUUUGGUGGACAGACUUAAAAGGGUGAAUGGAAUACGCAGGACCACUGUGCACACCCCAGAUUUCUUGAGAGCAUGCAGGAGGUGUCUUUGUGUAGUGUCAAGGGAUUGGUCUUUAUUUUGAAUAUUUGUGUCUUCUGAGCAGGUGUUUCCUUCCCUCUGCAAAGCAGCCCUCCCCUGCGGCCUGGUGACAGGCCCCUUAAUGCAGAAGACGCAGGUUGUAUUCCCAGCCCUGUCAAUCCCGUGUUCUCUACUGCAUCCCCUCCACACCCGGGCACAUCUUGGCUGGUGAGCCUGCAAACUCUUUGGAGUUCUGCUUCAGAUCCCUCUCUGUGCUCUCACAGACUGCUCGACACAUUGGUUCCCAAGUGUGCGUCUCUUGCUUCCCUUCUGAGGCUGGCAGGGGUGUUUGAGCAGGUCCUGACCCAGACCCUGUCAGGCUGCAUCAACCCUUAAUGCAUCACGUGAAAGCCGGCUGCUGGCAGCACAGGUUUGCAGGGCAUUGCAGAGGGGGUUCCUCUGCAAGAGCUCUGUCUUGAAACUCCGUGUCAAUCACAGAUGGUCCCUGGCCAUCAUGCCCACUCUGACAUGGGGAUGCUGACUUGAAUGAGGAGAGUGAGAGCCUUGUUUUCACCAUGGAUUGGUGAAAUUUGCUGCCCAGGUUUGGAGGUACGAGGGAUCCCAGCCCAGACGUGGCUGGUGCUCACGUGUGCACUUGAAUCCUGAGCUAUUUUCAUGCCAGCAUAAGCCCUAACUCUCUCAGGUCAAAGUUGGCAUGGGCAGAGGC